rnacentral:lncRNA from 1 species
AAUAGUUAUUGUGAGUUGUAAGCAUAAUAAUAUUGUAACUCUUCAUAUAUUAGGACAAAAACCAUACUACCAUCUUUACCCUCACAAUAAUACAUAGAAAUUCGUAGAUAACAUCAUGCCAAAAAUAUGUAUACUUUCCUACCGAACCUAGCCCAACGUACUACCAUCUCACCCUCACCAAAACACCUACCAUUGCUCCCUCCACUGCGACCUUCGUCAAUCAUCAUCGCCUACAGAUCCACUACCACAUACCCCUAUAAAACUCGAAAUCGAAGCUACUGCUCUUGCAUUAUAGCUCAAAAAAUUGGAAGAAAUCUACAGAAGGAAGAAAUUGAAUGCAUUAGAAUUAUAAUUACAGGUAUAUGUCUCAAUUCCAAUAGAUUUUUUUGAAUUUCAUUCAACAAUCGAGAAGAAAGAAGUAAAAUUUGCGUUAAUGGAGGGUUUUCCUUUCCUGAAAGUGGAUAGAAUGAAAGCUUUUGGUAGCACAUCGACUUUGGCCAUAGGGAAAAGAUAUACAAUAAGCAUACCAAGAGGCUAUUAUGUCCUUAGUGCAAGAACUAAUGGGAAAUGAAAAAUACUUCAUAAAUGAACAGUGGAGGAGAAUUUCCUCUUUUAAGAGGGUAGGGAUAAUAAAAGUAGGAAUUUACAAUUUUACAAACAAAAUUUUUAAUUGGCAAUAAUUUUAUUCUUUAUAUAGUUUUCAACGUAAUCAUCCGUUGGAAAAUUCAUUAGUGAAUUAUUUUAUUUGUUUAUUUUUAUAUUUUACCAACGGAUUAGCAACAUACUUUUAUCAACGAAAGACUUUUACUGGUAAUUUUGUUGGUAAUUUAAUAUAUAAUUUUUUAAAAUGAUAAAAUAAUAAUCCAUUGCUAAUUUUUUAUUAAUCCGUUGGUAGUAGCAAUGAAAUAUGUUCGUUGCUAAAAUUUCGCCUCUAUUGCCUCUUUUUCUAGUCUUGGAACACACAAUAGGGAUGUUAUUUCAAUCGCAAAGGCCAAAAAAUUGAUAAGAAAGGCAUAGCAAAGAGAGCACGAAGCAAGUGUCUAUUUUAACUAAAAGGAGAAGACAAAGAAAUAACAUACACAGUUAUAGCCAAAGGGAGGCAGCAUAUAUAAGAUACAAUUAAGGUGUAAUAAUGGGACGAUGCCUAAUAAGUGUUCAAACGCAUUAUUAAGUGGGCCGUUCAUUAUAAGCCAUCUAAAGAGCUAGGAAACAAGCCGUGAGCAACAUUGUUAAAAUAAGGUUACUUCAAAUGGUCCAAAUGUUAUCGAUCCAUCAUCUCCCUUUCUGAAGUAUUCACAACUAUCAUAAUUAUUUAUGAUGAAACCAUGAGUAGUCAUGAAUGAAUCGAACAUUUGUACCACUGCCUUGGUGACUACUUUAAUUUAUACAAGGACUUCUUUAACAAUUACACAUAGUAUUCCUUUCCAAAAAUUAUGAAAACCUUUGGUUGUUGUAUGUAGAUGAUCUCAUCAAGUUCUCCAUCCAAAAAUGCUGUCUUGACAUCCGUCUAUUUAAGUUCCAAGUCAUUCUUUGACACUAUCCCAAGUAAAUUUCAAAUUGAAUUGUGUUUUACAAUUGGGAAGAACACAUUUGUGAUGUCAACACCUAGAAUCUAACAGUAGCCCUUUAUUAUCAAUCUAGCCUUAUACCUAGCAUUUUCAGUCCUUAAUGUCCAUUCUUUCCUUUUGAACACCAAAUUGCUGCAAACAACCCUUUUAUCCUUUGUUAAUUUCACCAAGUCCCAAGUACAAUUUUUAUUUAAUGACUUCAUCUCUUUCUACAAUUGAUUGCCUCUGUAUAUGUAGACUGCUUCCCCAUUCUUUUGUGGAGGUUUAAUCUGUCUGUGAGGUCUAUCCUUAGCAAUAGAAUAUUGUGGUACUGCUGGAAAUGUAGGCAAAGUAUUUCUAUCUAUCAAUUCUAAACUAGUCUGUUCUGAAAUAGGACUAUUAUUUAACAUUUGAUUGUUUCCUUAACCAAUUUUCAACUCCAUUUGAGUUAAUUGAUUUUGUUUUUCUAGAUUAUUAGAAUUUCCACGAAAUACUACAUCUCUACUAAUUUUUGCCUUUCUUAUCUUAGAACGCCACAAUUUAUAUCUCUUUACACUUGAUUUGUAUCCAAGAAAGACACACUUUCUAGACCUAGGCUCCAACUUCCUAUUAUAUAGAUGAGCAUAAGUAGGGUACACAAAAAUCUUCAAAUCAGUAUAAUAUGAAGGUUUACCAGACCAUACCUCUUCAGGUGUCUUUUUCCCAAUGGCAGUUGAGGAUGAGCGAUUGAUCAGAAAACAAGCUGUAGCGCAGCUUUAGCCUAAAAAUUCUUAGGCAACCCAGAAUUUAAAAGCAAACACCAAACCUUUUCCAUCAAGGUUUUAUUGAUUCCUUCUGCCACACCAUUUUGUUGAGGAGUUCUGGGCACUGUCAAGCGUCAAGAUUCCUUCAGAGCUCCAGAAGCUAUUGAAUUCAUAUGAACAAAACUCCAAACUAGUAUCUGUGCGUAGACGUUUAACCUAAUUUUUAGUCUGCUUUUCAAUCAUUGUUUUCUACUUUAUGAAGGUCCAAACAUAUAACUCUUCUAUUUUAAGAAGAAUACUCAAAUAUUUCGGGAGAAAUCAUCAAUUAUUGCCAACAAGUAAUAAGCAUCUCCUCUUGAAAGUACCCUAGCCGACCCCUAGAGAUCUGAAUGGAUAUAUUCAAGUACUUCCUUCGUGUUGUGUCUACUUGUAGUGAAUUUGACUCUUUUCUAUUUUCCAAAGGCACAAUGCUCAUAGAAUUUCAUCUUAUUGGUCUUCUGUCCUAUUUUACUCAAUUUUGCCAUGUCAUUCUCUCUCUAUGCCCAAGUCACAUAUGCUAAAGUUUAGUAACUUCUUCAUCAGUCAAAUAAAAAGUAGAGACUACUACAUCCCGUGUAACUAUGGAACCCUGCAAAAUGUACAGCUCUGCAGAGUUAUUCUGUCACGUCAUGACAACAAAAGUGCUCCGUCGCCUUCGAAACUCCACCUUCGCCAGUAUACUUAUGACCUUUUGAGUCAAGUGAACUUAAAGAUAUGAGAUUUCACUUAAAUUAUGGAACACCAUCAAACAUUCUAAUUCUGACUAUACUAACUCCAACGUUUUUACACGGCACGUUGUUUCCCAAUAUUACUACACCUCUCGAAACUUUUUUCAUAUGUUGUAAACCAGUCUCUGUUGGGACACAUGAAAGUACAAGCCAACUCAAAAACCCACUCCUCACAAGAUUUGGAAUCCAUGUCAGAUAUCACAAGAGGCUCUAUUUUAGUUUGCGCAUUUUCCACAACAUCAACCUCUGUUGAGCUAAUAGGUUACUUUCUUCUAUCAAUAGCACUAGUAACCUUAUUCAUAUUUUUCAAUGAAUAGCAAUAAGCCCUAAUAUGUCCCUUCUUCUUAUAGUAUUAACACACAUUUCCUGUAUGUUUGAAUUUUGAUAUGCCCCUCAUAAUCCUACCAAAAUUCUUGUUUUGAUUUCUUCCACGAACACCAUGGCCUUUCGCCUGAUUCUUAGGUCCUUCCAGCAAGAUGCCUUAUCUUGGCCUCUUCCAAAAUGAAAGUAUCCCCACUAUAUAGAACAUUAUCUCCAAAAGUCACACAUGAUGGCAAGAGAGAGCACAACAACAUCAACGCCAAGUCCUUCUCAUCAUACUUAGCCUUCAGUGUGUCCAAAUCAACCAUGAUUUCUUUGAAUAUGGUUAAGUGAUCAUCCAAUGACACACUUUCGGACAACCAGUGAGAAUAUAAGUGCUAUUUCAAAUGUAACUUGCUGGUCAAGCUCUUUGUCAUACAAAGUUGCUAUAUAUAUAUAACUCUGAAAACCAAUUUGUAGAUGAAUAGAAAUCCAAAAUGCGUUAAAAUGUGAAAAAUCGAGAAGCAUCGUUGCUCAAGCAGCAUCAAGCAAUAGGGGGCGAGAAGCGGAUGACAAUUCUUUAUUCCAGAUUUGUCGGUUUCGCUCGAGCGAGUAGGUGGCGAAAAACUAGCGAAAAUUCGGCAACAAAUUUCUCGGUCCAUUAAUUUGAUCUACCCAGGACCACUUCGAAUACAACUCCAAUAGAAUUUGGGUCACACUACAACAUAUCUUUAUUCCGAUUUUCCUUUGAUAUGACAUUUUUUAUUCCUUAAAUCCCUUCCAAGACAACUUCAGUUGUGAGACGGAAAGUUUGCUACAGAUUUUGGAAAAAAUGAAACAGUAGAAUUUUUUUCUGUCUCUCAUUUCUUUCAUGUCUUACACUUAUGCUCCCCUUGUUGGUUAAACAACCUGUCUAACCAAUUUUUAGCAGUCAUGCAAGUAUUUUGUUUAAUCACUUAAAUCUAAAUCUACAUUUUAAUUGUGCAUUUCCCUCUUCGUUUUUUGUCUGCUCAACUUACUAAUUGUCAUCUAUAUAUCCUUGUAGUCACUUCUAGCCAAAAUUCACCUUGAAUAAUGCACAUUAGUUGUCUAGUCUUAUCAUACAAGCUUUCAGAUAAGUGAAUUAAGCAAUAUUAAUUAAGCACACAAAACAUGCCUAAUGGGCUAAUUCACGAUAAUUAAAUGUGACGUGUCUAAGCAAGAAUGAUAUGAAAAGUUCUGAUUAGCCUAAUGAAAAUUUCACAGCUUAGGAACAACACUUGCAUUUUUUCGUGAUCUGUUGUCCUGGGUAUACAUCGUCUCCCUCCCUUUCUUAGCAGUCACAUCCAACACGUUAUCUCUUUAUCUAGAUACCCCAAUUACUUUUCUAAUCUAACUUUUCUUUUUCAGGAGUUUUUUUGUUUUUAGAAUACAUACUUGAAGUAAUUUUACCUAAUUUUAUAAUAGCUGUUGAGCAAUCAUUGAGAAAGUUCAUGCUUCCUAUUCUAUUGGUGAGGUACGUAAGCUCCUUAAUACAUUGUUUCAUUAUCUUCGUGUUAUUGUACUUUGUUUAGUCCUUAAAAUUGACAUGAGGUGAGCAAUGUUUUUCUGGUUCAUCUUUACAAGGAUCCUAAUACUGGGAAGAUAAAAUUUCCAACUACUGGUACAACUGCAGAAGUACAAACUAGAAUUCUUCUCCCCAGUUCUUUUUUUUUUUUCAUCCCUUCAUAAUUGAAUUAUAUGCCAUGAAUUUAGGUUACAUGUAAAGCAUAGCUAUUUUAUGUUUGCUUGUUUUAUUUGUUUGAAUAUAACUAAGAUUCCAUGACAUUGUGAAUGGAAAAGUACAAAUCUGUAUGUAGUUCUAAUUCUUACUUUAGAGAGAGUGACAUGCCAAUAUCUGCAUCCACACAAAUUCUUUUUCUUCUUUAAAAUAGAUUGCAAAUAUUAAUUUUAUGUUUCUUUUAGAAAUUAGUUUCAUGGAGUAUGCAACAUUUCAUAGCCGAAGCUUAGUUCUUUUGAAUAUUUGUUAUUUUUGUUAUGUUUUUAGUGCAUACUUUCAAAUCCAUACCAAGAGAAUGAAUAUAUGUCAAAUUGGGUCGAAUGGGAAAUUAUGUAAAUUAUCAAAAUUUUUGAUAUCAUCUAUUAUCUAUCACCUUGCAUGCUUUGGGGUAUUUGUAAAUUCACACAAGCACAUUGCCUUUUUAAUAUAUUGAAGGAGGAAGAUUGAUGUUAUGUUUGUCAUUUAAAUAAAUUUAGCUUUACUUGCUAGCAGUUGUUAUGAUAAAUUAAGACGGCAUGAUGCUUUACGUUAGUUUGAUUGUGUUGAAGAAUGUUGACGAGGAAGAAAAACUUGAUUAUUUUUUAAAUGAAUGGCAUGCUCAUUUGAACCUGUAUCCCUGGAACUUGAUACAGUAUGUUCCUUUGAAAUAUUCUUUUGGAACUUGUAUGUUUCAAAUUGCUCCUAUACUAUUUUCCUGAUCUGAUAGUCAUAAUCCAAUAUUUUCAUUAUUUUUUGAUUCCUUGAAAUGCACAAAAAAUAUGCAACAUGUCUAGAGUGAGUGAGUCCAACAUCCCAUAAUGAGUAACAUUGUUUUGCAAAUGCAAUAAUUAAAAUCACGAUUAACGACAUAGAUAAGCAAUGGAAAUAUUCUAAAUUCAGAAGGGACUUGGGUUUUGAUCCUGAAAAGCCCAUUGAAUGUGAUGAGAAGGACAACAUUUGCUGGAGAUAUUGCAGGGAGCGAGACUUUACAAUAAAUGGGUAGUGGAUAAGCCUAGCUAAAUUUUUUAAUAUUAUCUAACACUAGUGCUUUCUUUCACCUAUUGUUCUCAUUUCUUCUUAUUAUUAGCACUAAUGCACUGUACUACUUUUAUUAUUACUACUAUUGUUAUUAUCAUCAAUGAUGUUGUCAUUUCUUCUUCUUUAUUUCUGUUAUUCUUAUUAACUUUUUCAUUGUGGGGUUUGAAAAUCGAUUCUUUGGGUCAUUUUAUAUGUUUAAUUGAUUAAUAAUUUUUUCAAUUACAAAUUGAUGUUUAACCCAUAUGCGAAAUUAGUGUACGAAUACCUGGGCAGAGUUGAUUAUUUUAGGAAAGCUGAAGUGUGCAUGUAUCUGAAAAUGGAACUUUUAUUUUCGUCGAACCUUUUUCUAGAAUGUUAUUACAUCUAUUUUUCUGUUGCAGUUGAGAACCAUUAAACCUGCCAACAUCUAUUUCACAAAGGAUUGUGGUGAGAUCUCUUUGUACUUUCUCUAACUUCUGCUUAUACUUCGGGUUGGAUGAUUCUUGUGCUUAUUGUGAAGCACUUGGAUAUGUUUUAUCUAUUGACUUUUGUUAUGUAAAUCCGUUUAUUUUAAGUGAGCAUGGUCUCACACUGAUAUUGAUUUCUUUAUUAUAUCUUCCAUUUUAGUGGUGACCAAACUAUUUGUGCUACUUCCAUGUAUUAGGGAGGCUUCUCAUGGAAAUAAAUUACAUAAUGGCAUAUGGUUAUGCAGAAGCUUCAUUGAGAAUAUUAUGGAGAAUAGGUCUCUUGGAAAUACUUCUAUCAAUUCAGGUAUAUUUCAAUGUUGGUUGGAUUUUAAUGAACUUGGGACAAAUUACUAUACUGGAACACCUUUGAUUAAAUUAUUUGUUAAUAUUUCAGGAUUUGAAUUUCUUAUUAGGGCAAACUAAUAACAACCAUUCUACACGUACACUUUUUUCACACCUUUUUUCAUAGCACACACACGUGCAAGUGGGUGGGGUCCACGAUUAAAAUAAUAGUGUGAAAAUUGAUGUAAAAAAAAAGGUGAUGUACAAAUAGCAUUUUUGAACUAAUAAAUACAACUCUAAAAUCUAACCAACAAUUUUGUUUUUUGAAGGUACAAUGAUGAUGAUCCUAUAUCUAGAUAUGAUCAAUCAUAUACGGUAGAUAAUGUGUUGAAUUACCAUCCCGAUAAAGCUACAAAGAUGGGAGUUGGAUAUUAAAAUAUAUCAUGGUAUGUUACUUUGUUCUCCAUUAAUAUGUUAAAUAUCUUUUAUCAUAUAUCUUUAUGUAUGUUUCAUGGAUUGCAAUUACUAAUUCACAUAAUCUUUCUUCUCGAGCAAUAUAAGCUUAUAACGUUAAGAUACUUUUGAAAUCAAAAUAGAUUAACUAUAUAUGUGCUCAUAUAUCAUUUCAAAUGAAAAUUUGAUCCUAAAUCUAUUUUGAAAUGUUCUUUUUGAUUUCUUGUACCCUUUAUUGCGGACUAAGAUAUUCACUUCAUGAGGCAUUUUUAUUUUUUUGGCUUCAAGUAUCAUAUUAAUCCCAUUCAUAAGUCUUAUAAUGACUAUUGGGGUAUCUGGAAUAAUUUUGGAUCAUUCGCUGAUACUCUUUUCUUAUACAUGUUAUUGCAUUUUUUUAGGGGCACCCUAGAGCAUUCCAACCUGUACUUGCUUGUGAUAUUUAUACAUUAUCAUUGAAUUGAUAACUUCUUGUUUCGUCGUCUUACUUUGCUUAUGCACUGCUGUUUAAAUUUAUGGCCUCCAGUUGGAAUAGCCAGUAGCCUUUUAGGGGGAGCACCAUAUGACUUCCUUGCACAAAUGUUUGCCUCUUUUCAGGCAGUCAGGGAAAGGAAUAGGGAUAAACGUUAUCACUAAUUUAUGUAUGUGUAAAUUGUAUUUAGGCUUAGCAUAUAUUUUCACCUUUUUAUUAACUUCAAGACACUAAUUAGUUUGAUCUUGUUUGAUCAUGCUUGCAGGAUGGAACUUGGGAUACAUUCAAAGGGAUUUGAGCUUCAAAUCUUAUUUAUUUGCCUAUUGUAAUUAAGGAUUGGCAGUCGGUAAUUGACAUGAAAAAAAAUGGAACUUUGGACUUUCAUAAAGGUACAUUUACAAAUAAGAUAAAUUUAAUUUCUUUUAUCAUGUAUUUUUUUCUAAUGACAUCAUUUCUUAUAUUUGUGCACAAAAUAUAGCAAAUGUUUAAUGUUAGUGAUUUUCAUAAAAAAAUGACACUUCAAUGUAUAGGAAAGUAUUAGAGGACAUACAAGUCAAGAUUGAGAAAAGAAAUCAAAAUUGAAUCAGCAUUAUCUGUGAAUAGAACACGCGCUAUUUUCCUUCUUAGAUCGAAGAAUGUAAACUCUGAAGAAGCAUGGAAAAAAUUUGUAGAAUAUACUCUUUCUACUGACUUUCAAGUAAGUUGUACUUUCAUAUUAAGUUAAAAAUUAUUUGAUUAUUGUUUUUCAAUUUUUUUGUUUUCUUAAUAGGAGAAAAUUCCCAAGUUCAGCAAAAUGAGAACAAUCAAAAGAUUUUACAUGCUAUAGGUCGAAAGGGUUAUCGACAUAUGGCUCAUGAUUUGGUACACAUACAAACUAUCUUUACUUAUAUAUACCCGUCUGUAACGAUAUUCUUAUUUAACUUCAUUCCUUUUACUUUAUAUCAAGUUUCUAGCAUAUGUCCAAUGCUAGCGUAUAUAAAAUUACUUGAUUUAUAUUACCAAAAAAAAGGGGUAUCCAGACAUAAAAGGGUAACGAACUAGAGUAUGGACUCAUGAACAUCUUAGAAAGGAUGGAAAACCUAUAAAUGAAGCUGUUGCCAAAACUUUAGUAUGUGUAUAAUAUCAACAUUUUGUCAAUAAUAGUUAAACUUGUUAUAUUUAUCACAGGCCAGUAUAAAAUUUAAGUUCCAGAAGUGCAGAAAAAAUAGAAAAUUGUGCCCAAUAAAUUUUCAAUAAACCACCAGAAGAUUCUAUUCGCGAUGAUUUUGUUGCUCGUGUUCUAGGUCAUAAACAUCGUGAAAGAGUAAAGGAAUUUGGAUUUGGAGUUACACCAUCAAAAGUUGAUGGACGAAUUCAAAGCAAAUCUCGAGUGAGAGAACUUGAAAGCCAACUACAAACGCAGUCAAAAAGGGUGGGAGCACUAGAAGAAAAAGUUUAAGCGCUUCUAAAGUUAUCUCGAGUUAUGUAUUUUAUCAUUAUAUAUAAUAUGAUAACAUUGCUUUAAGUAAGUUAGUACGUAGAAUAACUUUUUACUUUUUGUAUUAUUUUACAGAGUCAAAAUAAGAAUAUAGAAGACAUGAGUUCAUGUGCUUUUACUCCUCGGGUUAUGUAUCUUAUAUUAUUUAUUUGUUUGUUCAAUAUAAAUUCAGUCUAUAGUAUACUAAUUUUAAAGGAAAUAUGUUCAUUUUACUGCAAAUUUGUAGUCCCAACGAGGAAGUGGUAUCCGGGGAGGUAGUGCACAUUUGGAAAAUUCAAAGUGUCAACUAUUGCAUUGGUACCGAUAUGAUGAGGAAGAAAUUGUAGCAGAAGGGAAAAUUGCAUCAAUCGAUCCAAUCGCAAAGGUACACCAUGUGCCACUUGGACGAGAUAGUUGGAAGAUUUGGGUUGAGGAAGUGCAUAUUGGUAAUUUGACCAUAUAUAGACCUACUGAUGAAUUUUGAGUUCUUAAUGAAGCCAUGGAAAGUAUUGUUACUUGGCUAAAGAGUAGCAUUAGACUCAUUUGACGAAGAUAAUUCAUGAAUUUUUAUACUUCUGCAUGUAUUUAUGUCUUCAUUUCUAUAUUUUCAUAUUCGUAUUUUUCUUUUUGUUUUACGCAUUCAUGAAAAAAUGUGUGAUUAGAUGUUUUUCUUUACUUAUCAUAGCCGAAAUAAAUUUUUCAGAGCUUAUACUAAUAUACC